rnacentral:rRNA from 1 species
UGGGGAAUAUUGGACAAUGGAGGAAACUCUGAUCCAGCAAUUCUGUGUGUGUGAAGAAGGUUUUAGGACUGUAAAACACUUUUAGUAGGGAAGAAAAAAAUGACGGUACCUACAGAAGAAGCAACGGCUAAAUACGUGCCAGCAGCCGCGGUAAUACGUAUGUUGCGAGCGUUAUCCGGAAUUAUUGGGCUUAAAGGGCAUCUAGGCGGUAAGACAAGUUGAAGGUGAAACCCUGUGGCUCAACCAUAGGCUUGCCUACAAAACUGUUGAACUAGAGUACUGGAAAGGUGGGUGGAACUACACGAGUAGAGGUGAAAUUCGUAGAUAUGUGUAGGAAUGCCGAUGAUGAAGAUAACUCACUGGACAGAAACUGACGCUGAAGUGCGAAAGCUAGGGGAGCAAACAGG